UACAGAGGGCUCAAGCGUUAAUCGGAAUCACUGGGCUUAAAGGGUCCGCAGGCGGAUUGGAAAGUAUCUUGUGAAAUACCACGGCUCAACCGAUGGACUCGUACGUACUCAAUCUUGAACACGGUAGGGGCCAUCGGAACUCUAGGUGGAGCGGUGAAAUGCGUAGAUAUCUAGAGGAACGCCAGAGGCGAAGGCGGAUGGCUGGGCCGUUGUUGACGCUCAGGGACGAAAGCAUGGGUAGCGAACGGGAUUAGAUACCCGUGUAGUCC
rnacentral:rRNA from 1 species